rnacentral:rRNA from 1 species
AUGGUUGCCAUGGGCGCGGACGAGGAGGAGCGGCCCGUGCACCAGGGCUGCAUGGCCGGCUUCCUCCACCUCUUCGACCGCCCGCACGUCCUCUCCGGCAAGCGCCGCCUCUGCCACCACCCCCGCCGCCUCCUCUCCUCCUCCUCCAGCGGGUCGGCGACGCCGUCGGAGAUGUCGAUGCCGCUGGACAGGGCGACGCCGCUGCCGUCUUCGCCCGAGAUGACGCCGCCCGCGGCGCCGAGGCCGUCGCUCCAGCUCCCGCCGCUGGACCUGAAGGACAGGGGUGGCGCGGCCGCGUCCUGGAGGCUGCCGCGCCUGUCGCUCGACAGCCGCGCGGUGGUCGACGCCAGGGGGAAGCUCCGGCAGCGGGACAACAUCAGAACGGCGGCGCCACCGUCCCCUGGCGUGGCGGGCUCGCCCAGCGUUGUCGCGCGGCUCAUGGGUCUCGACGCGCUGCCGCACGGUGCCGCGGAUGAGGAGGACGGCCAGCACGCGGCUCGGGGUGGCGAGCUCAGGCGGUCCGCGUCCGAGCGAGUGCCGCGCGACCCGGCCCGCUUCCGGUUCGUCGACCCGUCUUUCUUCGAGAAGCCGGCGCUGCUUCCGCAGAGGCCGUCGUCCCCGACGGCAGAGGCGGCGCUGGCACAGCGGCAGUCGCCGGAUCCGGCUUUCCACAGGGCGGCGGCGCUGCAGAGGCGCAGCAGCCACUUCGACGCGCGCGAGGUGUUCCCUGAGCCGGCGAAGCGCGUCGACCCGAGCGCCGGGCGCGGCGAGAUCGCGCUCUGCGGCGAGAUCGACCGGCGCCUCCGCAAGCGUGGCAUCGCCGAGCCGGCCAGAGAUCUCGAGACGCUCAAGCAAAUCCUGGAAGCCCUCCAGCUCAAAGGCCUCCUCCGCCACAGCACGCCACCGCCGCCAUUGUCCGUGCGCAACCAUCCGCCUCCCAUCGUCGUCAUGCGCCCGUCCUCCCGGCCGCCGCAGCCUCCAACUUCGCCCACGAGGCGAUUACGUGUCCAAGUCGACAAUGCCCGCCGCCCGCGUUCUCCUGACCGGGCGGCGUCCCCCGCACGGAGCCCGGCCUCCCCGGCGCGACGCGGCCCGCAGUCCCCUCAGCGCCUCGUCUCUCCGGACAAGCGCCACCAGCCCCUCAAGAAACCGAGCAACGCUGAUCUCCCAAGCAUCCGCCCCCGCAUUGCCCGCCACGCUGCUCAUCAUCUAUCUCCCGACGACGACGCGUCGACCAUCUUCUCGGACGGCGGCAGCAGUAGCUCUGUCAGUGCCAGCGCCAGCGCCUCCUCCCGCUGGGACCUCGAGCAGCGGCAGCGGGCACGUCUGGUGGACGACCCGAGAACGGACCGCGGCCUGCUGGAGCGCUGCGACAAGCUGCUGAGCAGCAUCGAGGCGUUCACCGGCGCCGGCGACGCGGCCGGCGACCAGCAGCCGAGCCCGGUGUCGGUGCUCGACGCGGCGACGUUCCUCGCCGACGAGGACUCGCCGUCGUCGUCGGGGUCGAAGCGGGGGAUGGGCCGGAGAGCCCCGAGCCCCCGGCCGGCAUUCUCUCUGUCCUUUCCCGAGGACGACGACGAGGUGGUCCCCGAAGCGUGGCUGGUUGGACCGGAGGCCAGUGACCCCGACUUCGCCUACGUGGCAGAAGUAGUCUGUUUGUCGGACCGGAUGAGGAGCCCGAAUGACGUGUACCGCACGGUGGAGAAGAGGCGCCGGCGUGGUGAGGACACGUGGCAGCACCGCAGGCUGCUCUGCGGCGCGGCGGCGGAGGCUCUGGACCGGUGGCGGUGCGCCCACCCGUCGGAGCCCGUCGCGUGGCUCCGCGGCGAGGACCUCCUGCGCCACGUCUGGGCGGAGGUCCAGUGCGCCAUGGAGCCGGCUGCGGUGGCCGACGAUCUGAACGACCAAACUAGUGAAGCCAUCCUGCGCGACCUGGCGGCGGACCGGCGGUGGUCGCCGAGCGCCGAGGCGGCGGACACGGUGCUGCAGAUCGAGCGGCUGCUGUUCAAGGACCUGGUGGCCGACGCCAUCUGUGAGCUCGCCGAGGCCGACCGCCUCCGCCUCCCGCGCCGGAAGCUGGUCUUCUGA